AUCUUUUCUCCUUGAUAUUUAUUUAAUGAUGUCACGUUGUUUAUUCUACAGAAUUUUCCAGUCUGCAAUUUGUUGAAUGCAUCCCUGUGGUGCCGUUUGACAUGAUCCUCUGUCCUCUGUAUUUCCUGCCAAUUGGUAGUUGGACCUAGAGCCAGAUUCCCUUUCGAUGUUAUGUAUUUACUGCUUCCCAGGCCCUUAGGGGUCUAUGCAGAUAGUAAUGGGGGAUGUGAAUCACUUGUCAGUAUUUUAAAGUACUUCAUAUUUUCAGCUACUAAUAUAAGCUAACAACAUCGUCCAUUUUCUUUGAUUUUGCCUAGAAUCACAUCAUCUCAUUGAGAUAAACCAGAUAUUUCAUGCAGUCUUCAGCCUGGCAAACAGCUAUUACGGACAAUGUGGAAGGAAGGUGGUGGAAAAUGAACUUUACAGAUUGCCCUCAGUCAUUAGCGAAAGUCACAAAGUCCAUAGAAGGCAGGACGUCAGUGGACAGGUGGUCCAGGUCGCCUGUGGUCAGGACCAUAGUCUGUUCCUAACGGAUAAAGGAGAAGUCUAUUCUGGUGGAUGGGGCGCAGCUGGGCAAACAGAAGGACAUGUUUUUGUCUGAGGCUACGGAAUUCUUGGCAAAGGACCAAACCUAGUGGAAACUGCUCUUCCGGAAGUGAUUCCACCCACUCUCUUCAGCUUGAUGGAGUUCAACCCAGAAGUCCAGGUUUCCCGCAUUUGCUGUGGACUCAGCCGCGUUGCUCCUCUUACCAGUAAGUGGCCAAGCCCGUGUGGCCCCAGUGACGGGCCGAGCUGCAUUCUCUUAGGUUCACCCCAAGCCGUGGGCAGCUUUCAGUGUCCAUCCAUCCAGUGGAGGGGCGCCCCACGUGGAUAAUUACAGAGAGCAGCUCAUCCAGACGUUGUUUGGCUUGAAGUUGUAUAAUGUGUGUCUUUUUUCAUCCUGGAGUUUUGUUUUUGGUUCCUUUGGUUUGUGGUUGGGCUCAUGUGAA